rnacentral:rRNA from 1 species
GACGAACGCUGGCGGCGCGCCUAACACAUGCAAGUCGAACGAGCGAGAGAGAGCUUGCUUUCUCGAGCGAGUGGCGAACGGGUGAGUAACGCGUGAGGAACCUGCCUCAAAGAGGGGGACAACAUUUGGAAACGACUGCUAAUACCGCAUAAGCUCACGCCUCGGCAUCGAGCAGGGGGAAAAGGAGCAAUACGCCUUGGGAUGGCCUCGCUUCCGAUUUGCUUGUUGGUGGGGUAACGGCCCACCAAGGCGAGGAUUGGUAGCCUGGCCGAGAGGAUGGACGGAGACAUUGGCACUAGGACACAGUCCAGAAUCUUACACAAGGCAGGAAUGAGGGAUAUAGCACAAUGGGGGAAGCGAUGAAGGAGCGACGCCGGGAAGAGGAAGAAGGUGUGAAAAAAGAGAAGUCCUGUUAUAGGGGAAGGUUAUGACGGUACCCAACGAAUAAGUAACGGCUAACUACGUG